CCAGGCCUUACUUUGCUCUUUUGUGUGGUUACACUUUCUUAUCAAAGGAAAACAGGGGCCUCAUUGAGCUCUAUGUGUCAGUUAAACUAGAGAAAGGGAGUGUGGUCCCCCCUCAUUUAUUCUUUUUUUCCCUUUUUUUGAUGAAAAGGUCAACAAAAAAAAAAUGUUUGCUCAGAGAGAAAGGAUAUUAUGUAAAUAAUUAGCCCAUUCCAAGAUUAUGUUGUGCAUAUAUAUAGUACAGUAGAGAGCUGAAAGAGGACUAGCAUUUGCAGCAGGACUGGACAGUUUAUGACUUUGAGAAGUAGGAACUCUCUGUAGCUCUGCUUAUCUGGAAUGCAUGCAGAAUGGCUUGUACUGGCUUAAUGGAAUGAGGCCCCCAGCCUCGAUCUAGAUCUUCAACUUGGGAAGAAUCAGGAAUCGGUGAAGGAGGUCUCAACUGCUAUUGCCAUACUGAACGGAACAGAAUCUCUUCAUCGAUUAACAAGGAGGCUGUGUUACCUAAUUAGGCUCAGCUACAGCUUUCUCAUCUAUGCUUUGGGUCUUCUGAGAUUGUCCGAAGCAUCGAAAGGGUUGUCCUCUCCUGCCAGAGAAGACAGUGCUGAUAUCGAAGGCCAACGAAGACUGAAAACUGGGUCAUCCAUCAGUGUUUCGAGGGCAUCCAGAGUCGUAGAUUUGGCACUGCAUCCGUGAGCCAGCCGCCAGUGAGAACAGGUCAACUCAUCACCCGAUCCCGAAUUGAAAGCACAGAACAUUUGGAGAGGGAGGAAUCAUGGAAAAGGACAUU
rnacentral:lncRNA from 1 species